rnacentral:lncRNA from 1 species
UUUGUAGAAUGAUGUUCAAUGCAAGUUCCAAGAAUGUUGCAAGACCUCAUCAUAAUAAAAAAUGUACACAUUCCAAGAUCUUGAAUAAUAGGUAAAUGAUUUUUCUUCUAAUUAUUUCUAACCUCCUUAUAUUGGGUCAUUUCAGAAAACAUCCAUACCACCCCCACGGGGGAAAUUGGAAGUUAACCCCCUUCGGAUGUCCUUAUACAUUUACUAUUAUCAGAGACAAUUUUGUCUCCCCUCCCCCUUCGGACGGCAGACAUGUCCUCCGUGGGGGGAGUGUGGAUCUUUUCUGGAACGACCCAUUUCUUUGGACAAUUUUCUUUGUAAGGCGUAAAACAAAUACCCUGUGCUUCCGGUUUCCGACUGACCCUAUUUUUUCUGCCGACCCUAGUAUUUUUUUAACACGAUUGACCGAUUGACUGUGUGACCCUAUUUUCUUCAGGUGGUUGCAGGCUGCUCAUACAGCGUGCCAAAAUGGCAUCUAUUGCACACUAUAAAUUAUUGCCUAAAUUGUUCCAUAGGAAAUACCUAGUUAAUAUUGACUCUACUGCAAAAUCGCCCAGCAAAAAACUGUCAAAACCAUGAAAAAAUGACCUACCGACCCUAAUUUUUUUCACGAUAUGAAACCGGAACCACAGGUAUUUUUUUAAGCCUAAUAUAUUAAUUUAUUUCAUGUUCUCAAUAGUGAGUUUUUUUAAUUUUCUAGAUGUGUGUUGCAAUUUCAAAGAAUGUUUCAGGUUGUUGGUCGAAGAAGUGUCUAUGAUCACAAAAAUGAGCACUGUCAUUGGAAAGUAUAUAAAAGGUUUUAAAAUUUUCCUGUCUUAUCUUACAUGAAGUGUUUUGAAAAUUAUACGAUUGCUUGUGAUCAAUAGUUUCAAAAAAUCCCGGCAGAAUAUUGCGAAAUAUAGCAUGAUCAUGUUUCUUACAACACAAAAUACAACAAAAAUAAUAAACACAAUCUUUUACGCCUAAAUAUUUCUUGUUGUAUUAAUUUCGAAAAUUUCCGUUUUGUGGUUCCUCGUUUACUUGAUUAAUUUUUGUGUCACUGAUCACAAAAUUUUUAUAAUUUUCAAAGAAUAUAAGCAUUUUAUGAGCAAGCCAGGAAUUGACAAACUAUCUGUGUUUUGAAAAAAAAAUUUAAACAGUGAUGAUUUUGAGUUUAUCUGUAUUCUAUCUGAGAACAUAGUUGUUUCUACAUAUUUUCAAAGUUUUUGUCAAAUAUAAAAAAUUGAAAAGUUUGUCAAUGUUUGGCUCCGUUAGAUCAGUUAAACAUUGAGAAGAUUGAGGUGGUUUUUAUUACAAACCAAAGCAGUUGCUUACAAAUAAAAUAUGUGACUUUAUUUCAGGAUUGAGUAUUUUCUUUUUGUCAUCUUUCAUGUUUCGGUAUUAAAUUGGAGUAUGUUUUCAUUGAAGGAUUAAAAGAACAUUGAUGAACAUUUGUCUCAUUGCAAUUUGUGUUUUGAACUUGUCAAAGUGCAUUGUGAAAACAGUAAACUUAUGGUCCAUCUCAAUCUUCUCUUGUUUAAGUGGACUUUCAGUGUUUGUUGAAAGUUUGGAAUGUUCAUCUGAAAAUCACAAUGUUUCAUUAAAUGUUGAUUCUGGAUGUUUUCAAAUAUUGAAUCUUACGAAAAGCAAUUAGUGAUCAAUUGAAGUAUACAAUACUUUUAAAAUUAGCACUGUUAGAACUGCCUCGUUGUUUAAUAGUCCUGUCUUAUUUAUCCCAGCACACUCUUAAUACAUGAGUUUGGUUGUUCCUGGACACAGAUAAAACGGAUUUGUCGAUGAACAAGGCAGUUCUAUACAGUACUGGCUUAUAGAAGGGUUGUGUUCUUCAGUUUUUUUAUUCUUGGCCAAUUUAUACAUUGUGGUUUUCAAUGACUUUGUGAUUUUUAAAAAACUUUCCCAACUUUAAAACAAACAGUUAAGGUCAAAAUAAGCUAGGAUAUUGCCCUUAUUUAAUUACAAAGUGGAACUUAUUUGGAUAUGGAUGAACUCAAGCUCAGCAAACUAUACUUAAUUUGGGGGGUAAUGUGAGUCGGAGAAAAUAAAAGAAAAUCUGAUUCUCAUGCAUGGCAAGGAAAACCACAACCAGACUACAGGAUGAUGUUCUUUGGAAUAUGUUUUGUAUUAUAGGGAAGGAAAAACCAUCAGCAAUGAAAAGUAUAUAUUAAUUUUUUGGUAAAGCAAUCCAAUAAUUGGAAUAUUGAGGCUGAAAAUAAGAUUGAUCGUUCUUUGUCCUAUAUCUUAAUAAAUGCAUAGUUUGAUAAGAUUUUAAUCAAAAUUCAAACACGAAAAUUAACCAUAUUUUUAGUAUUCUUCAAAACUCAAUAAUUCAUGAGGAAACACACAAAGAAAAAUCAUAAGCAUGUCAUAUCUUUAUGUGUGAUAGUGAUUCCCCUUGAUUUUCAUAAACUUUAACUUUGAUUUUCUCGACUUACACAACAUAUUUUUUGAAAAUUACUUUGUCAGUGAACUUACUAGAUCGAUUGCUUUUGAAGCAAUUUAAAACAUUUGCAGCGCUUGUUUUAUCAGACAUAAAGACACUCAGCUUUGCCUCGUAUUUUUAUAUCUGAUAAAACAAGCACUGCAAAUGUUUUAAAUAGUAAAUCAAAAUUUGUGUGUGUUUCAUCAAAUAUAAGAUAGGCAAUGAUUGAGAUGCUCUUUAUGUACCAAAUUUUAUAAUCUGAAUAAAAAGUUCAAGAUUUUAAAAUAUUUAAAUAAUCUGAUCGAGCUAUGAUAAAUCCUAAUUUAUUUAAGUGGGAAAUUUCUAAGCUGAAUGAAAUAUUUAAUCCAAAUCAGAUUCAAUUAACUAAUUUCAUACUUUGGUUUGGAUACUAACUGAGAUGCAAGAUUUGUAUUUUUUAUUGCUGGUUGUGGUUAAUAAUUGUUUGGCAAUUAAAAUGAAUUUGUUAGUUUUCUAUGUUUACAUGUAUUUCUUUUGCUUCAGUUUAACAUUAUUUUCAAAUAGUUCCACUUUGUAAUGGUGUGUUAUAAUAUAGACAUAAUAAUAAUAUAAGCAAACAGGUUUACAUGGCACUCGAACAUGGUCUUUUCAAUGAGUAUGUAAAGGUAAGUUUAUACUUCAAGAAUGUCUGUUUUUAACCUGACAAGAAUGCUGUCCAAAAUUAACUAAAACUCAAUCUUUGUGACCUUUCAAUGAAAUUUCAUAUGUUCAAUCGACAACUGCUACUACUGUAGGAUGUCUUUUGAUGUUUGUGUUUGGUUUGCUGUUGAUACUAGAAAUUGAUGAAAAUGCAGUAUAUCAUUUUGUUUACAAGUUGAGAGAGAUUCUAAGGAUUUUUAUGGAAACUGAUUGUUCCUUGUGAGGACUUUGAGCAAAACUGUUUGUCUACUUUUGAGUUAGCAAAGUAUAUCCAAAACUUAUUUCCUGUUUUUCAUUAUGCAAAACCAUAAGCUCUUUUCCAAUUGAAAUUUCUGUUUGGUUUCGACCAAUAUAAAUAAAAGUGCAAAAAAAAUAAGAAAAGAUUUUAUGAACAUUUGAAAGUUUGGUUCAAUCCAAUUUUGUGUGUUUCUGAACAUGGUCGGUAUAUGUUUUGCAUCAAAAAUAUUUCCCGAUAUUUGCAUAAAAAAUAUUUCCAAAAAUUGUUUUUUUAAAUAUAUAAAUAAUAUAAAACAGAACAACUUUUCCUAAGACUAGUGAAAUUUAGGAGAUGUUUGUUUGUAAAGUAGUGGAUCAAUGUGAAUGAGUAAACAGAACAACUUUUCCCUAAGUGAAAUUUAGGAGAUGUUUGUUUAUCAAAUAGUGGAUCAAUGUGAAUGAGUGAAUCAUCUUGUUGUAUUUAUCGAGGACGAGAAAUGUACCAUUUUUAAGCAAAGGAAAUUGGAACUGUUCAAAUUUUUGUUUCAAAAAUCAAUCAGAAUUGGAGAAAUAACAUUCUUUUAAAAUUUUGUUGAACUGCAUUUUCAUCACUUGAAUUAGUAUCAAAGUUGUCAGGUUAAAAACGACUCUCAAAGAUAUAUGGCUCCGAAAGACAGGGAUAAUUUCAAAUUCUUAAAUAUUUCUUGAUUUGGCACUUGAAAGAAAUGUUCUUAUAUAUGUUCAGUUGAGUAUGGAACCAAUGAUCUAGUCGUACUGUUUCGAUGUUUAAAAAUAUCAUUUCUGAGUUUAAUAAAGUAUGCUGUCAAUGCAUUGACCAUUGUGAAAAUGUUAAGGCAUUUUGAGGAAAUUAAUUUACUUCGAGCAAUGGAAUUUGUUGUCAACGACAAUGACUGUCUUGCCUACCACUUGACAACUGAUCGCGAAUUACAACGAAUGGACUUCUCUUAGCAUCUAAACAUCGCGAUAAAAUCAUUAUUUUCCAUACUCGAGUGAAGAUUUUGGUCACUUUACCAAAAACAAUUAGUUGUAUUAAAAAAAAGUAAAAGCAUGUUCGAUUUACUUCGUCUUUGAGCCAUAUAUUUUCCUUGUAAAACAACCUGGUGUUACGCUUUGGAUUGUCCGUCAGACUCGUAAAAUUUAUCAUUAGAGUUGUUUUACAAUAUUUAUUUUGAAGUAUAAACAUUUAUCUUGAAAAGACCAGGUUCUCUUGUUUCCUCAAGAAUUAACUUUUUAAUGUUAAUUCGCGGGCAAACAAGUUUUUUAAUGUUGUGUUUUCACUUGUGCUUAUUCACUUGUGUUGAACACAAUAUUAAUUGUUCUCUUUGUGCCAUGUUCUGUUUUCUUCUAUUGUUAUUUAAUUAAAUACGUAUGCAGUGGUUGUUCUCUUUUUAUUGUUAUUCAAUUUGUAAUUACAAUUCUUUUCAAUAAAUUGUUCAUUAAUUAUACAAGAGACUCCUUUUUAAUUAAAAAUUCAAUUCCCAUGGGAAUUGAAAAAAAAAAUAAAAAAAUUUUUCCCCAACCCGGCCGGCUCCCCAAGUGCCACCUCUACUUCAAGCAGAAGUACUUCUACUAUAUAGUAAAAGUACUUCUACCUAAAGUAGAGGUAGCACUCGGAGAGCCAGCCGGGGUAGCGAGGCGAAGAGAAGACCAACCUUGCAAAUGCAAAAUAAUGCAAAUUGCUAAGUCGAUCUUCUCUUGAGAGCAGCCACGCGCAUACCUGGCAAAUGUAAAACAACAAGCAUUAGUAACAAAUACUCGACAUGCAAAUUUUGAAUCCCAUGGCCGAAAUGACAAGUGCCCCCCACUGAUUCCUACCAGCUGCCUACCUGCCUCAAUCCUAAGCUGUCUGCCUCAGUCCUAAGCUGUCUGCCUUGGUCCUAAGCUACCUGCAUUCCAUUCGUAACUUCCGCUUUCCUCACCAUCACACAGACACUCACAACUGCCCAACCUGCCACCAGCCCGAACUGCCCACCCUUAAAACUGAAGGAAUUAAAAUUUUGGUAAAGUAUACAUAAUUAAUUUCGUUAAUCGGAUAUUUUAGGCGAAACGUAAACAGAUAAAUUAAAAGGUUGACAAUCAGACGAAAGACCGCGUUUACAAACAG